AGUGAACGCUGGCGGUAGGCCUAACACAUGCAAGUCGAACGGCAGCACAGUAAGAGCUUGCUCUUACGGGUGGCGAGUGGCGGACGGGUGAGGAAUACAUCGGAAUCUACUUUUUCGUGGGGGAUAACGUAGGGAAACUUACGCUAAUACCGCAUACGACCUACGGGUGAAAGCAGGGGAUCUUCGGACCUUGCGCGAUUGAAUGAGCCGAUGUCGGAUUAGCUAGUUGGCGGGGUAAAGGCCCACCAAGGCGACGAUCCGUGGCUGGUCUGAGAGGAUGAUCAGCCACACUGGAACUGAGACACGGUCCAGACUCCUACGGGAGGCAGCAGUGGGGAAUAUUGGACAAUGGGCGCAAGCCUGAUCCAGCCAUACCGCGUGGGUGAAGAAGGCCUUCGGGUUGUAAAGCCCUUUUGUUGGGAAAGAAAAGCAGCAGGUUAAUACCCCGCUGCUCUGACGGUACCCAAAGAAUAAGCACCGGCUAACUUCGUG
rnacentral:rRNA from 1 species